AGGACGAACGCUGGCGGCGUGCCUAAUACAUGCAAGUCGAGCGAAUGAUUAGAGAAGCUUGCUUCUCUCUGAUUUAGCGGCGGACGGGUGAGUAACACGUGGGUAACCUACCCUAUAGACUGGGAUAACUUCGGGAAACCGGAGCUAAUACCGGAUAAUACUUUUGAACUCAUGUUCGAAAGUUGAAAGAUGGUUUCGGCUAUCACUAUAGGAUGGACCCGCGGCGCAUUAGCUAGUUGGUGAGGUAACGGCUCACCAAGGCAACGAUGCGUAGCCGACCCGAGAGGGUGAUCGGCCACACUGGGACUGAGACACGGCCCAGACUCCUACGGGAGGCAGCAGUAGGGAAUCUUCCACAAUGGACGAAAGUCUGAUGGAGCAACGCCGCGUGAGUGAAGAAGGAUUUCGGUUCGUAAAACUCUGUUGCAAGGGAAGAACAAGUAGCGUAGUAACUGGCGCUACCUUGACGGUACCUUGUUAGAAAGCCACGGCUAACUACGUGCCAGCCGCAGC
rnacentral:rRNA from 1 species